CCUACGGGUGGCUGCAGUGAGGAAUAUUGGUCAAUGGGCGCUAGCCUGAACCAGCCAAGUAGCGUGAAGGAUGACUGCCCUAUGGGUUGUAAACUUCUUUUAUAGGGGAAUAACGUGCAGUAUGUAUACUGCUUUGCAUGUUCCUUGUGAAUAAGGCUCGGCUAACUCCGUUCCAGCCGCCGCGGUAAUACGGGGGGUCCGGGCGUUAUCCGGAUUUAUUGGGUUUAAAGGGAGCGUAGGCGGGUUCUUAAGUCAGUUGUGAAAGUUUGCGGCUCAACCGUAAAAUUGCAGUUGAUACUGGCAUCCUUGAGUACAGGAGAGGUAGGCGGAAUUCGUGGUGUAGCGGUGAAAUGCUUAGAUAUCACGAAGAACCCCGAUUGCGAAGGCAGCCUGCUGGACUGUAACUGACGCUGAUGCUCGAAAGUGUGGGUAUCGAACAGGAUUAGAUACCCUUGUAGUC
rnacentral:rRNA from 1 species